rnacentral:piRNA from 1 species
UGACUACUUUGGGAUAUCCCUGAUUGCC